GUGGAUGACCGUGUCUGGUUCCUCGCAUCUCAUAGCUUAAUUAUUCUUUAAUUAUUUCAAGGCUAGUAGCAAUAAAUUAGCACACUAGCUGAUGAGUUAUAGAAUUAAACUAAUAGAGCUGACGGCGAAUCAGUCCAAGGAAGGGAACAGAGCAGCCCUGAGUUUCUUCUCCAAAUUGGGAAUCCUUUAACCACUAAUACAA
rnacentral:misc_RNA from 1 species